rnacentral:rRNA from 1 species
GACGAACGCUGGCGGCGCGCUUAACACAUGCAAGUCGAACGAUGAUGCUCCAGCUUGCUGGGGUGGAUUAGUGGCGAACGGGUGAGUAACACGUGAGUAACCUGCCCCCUUCUUCGGGAUAAGCUUGGGAAACUGGGUCUAAUACUGGAUAUUCUGCAAUUGUCGCAUGGUGGUUGUGGGAAAGAUUUUUUGGUGGGGGAUGGGCUCGCGGCCUAUCAGCUUGUUGGUGGGGUGAUGGCCUACCAAGGCGUCGACGGGUAGCCGGCCUGAGAGGGUGACCGGCCACACUGGGACUGAGAUACGGCCCAGACUACGACGGGAGGCAGCAGUGGGGAAUAUUGCACAAUGGGCGCAAGCUUGAUGCAGCGACGCCGCGUGAGGGAUGACGGCUUUCGGGUUGUAAACCUCUUUCGAUGGGGAACAAGGCCAUAUUUUUGUGUGGUUGAGGGUACCUGUAUAAGAAGCGCCGGCUAACUACGUG